UGCCCUGUUAUUAUCCCUUACCACAAAGGUGGAAAACGAUUGCAUAUUGGACUUCAGGAAUUUGCUGAAGAUUUAGUUUUACGUUCUCAGGCAGUAACGGAUCAACUAAACUCCGUAAAGGUCAAAAUGCUUACACUAUGCCAAUCAAGAAACAAGGAUAGCCUUGAUGAAGUAUCAGAAGAUACCCAAGAAAAAGAAGAGAGAUCAUAUGGUUCAAUUAUGAUGGAGAGAUUGACUGGUAGUGAGGAUGGGCGAAUAGAUCAUGUGCUUCAAG